GGACGAGAAGAGCAAUACGUACAGAGUAAUGGGGGAAGUUGAAGAGGGAAACGUUAAACACGUUUAAAUCCACACAUGCGAGGCAUUAAUCAAACACAGUUUCCAAAGACACAGUUUCGGAUGCGUCUCCGUUUUUCCUGUCCCGACGGACAUAUUUGGAGGUGAAUUCGUCUGUGUUGCCAUAGCGCUCAGCGAGCUCCCUCCUCCUUUCUGCCUUGUACCGAGCGAUUCUCUCAGCCUUGGUCUCUGGGGCCGAGCUCUGCAAGGUGUCUACUCCAUCCAUUUCUCAAGUUCAAUGGCGAUUAGGGUUCGAAUGCAGACACAAACUCCCUCAAAUCCCUUUUACCAGAAGUCCUGCUGACUGUAGCCAGUCACCCGAGAGGCAGUUGACAUAACAACCCCCUGCGUACUCAUGCCUGCACUCUGCUUUGCCUAAGUAACUGACACUGUAAAAACUGUACUGACCUGCUUGAGGCGGAGCUACCAUUGUCACCAGGCAAAGAAAGUGUGCUGCUUUGUCUCCUUCAAAUAUUUGUCAAGGGGGACAUGUCAUUCAAACUCAAUAAAGCUAUGAAGUUUAACACAGAGGAGCAUCUGUGGGUUUUCCUG